rnacentral:lncRNA from 1 species
CCUCCCCCGCCCCCACACCAAAACCUCGCCAUUUUCUCUUCACACGGCAUUUCCAUUGACUUCAAGUCCUCAAAACUCUCGAAACUUACUCCUCUAUGAAUUUUCCUUUCGCUCUCUAGUUUUCAUUCUUAGUAGCACACACAAAUCAUCAAAAUUUCAGUUGGGUCAUCAUCCUCUUUGACUCUGCAAAACUUAUCAUUUUCCAUAAAAUCUCUCUGUUGGGUCAUCAUUUUCUUGGACUAUUUUCAAUGGCAACUCCACAAACCCCACAACCCACACAAACCCGUUACUCUUUUCACGUUUUCUUGAGCUUCAGAGGUGAAGAUACCCGAAAAAACUUCACUGAUCAUCUCUACUCAGCUCUCAUCAACGCGGGAAUACGAACUUUUCGAGACGAUGAUGAAAUCCGCAGAGGAGAAAACAUAGAAUCUGAACUCCAAAAGGGUAUUCGAGAAUCCAAGAUUUCCCUAAUUGUUUUAUCCAAAGACUACGCUUCUUCAAGAUGGUGUCUUGAUGAGCUUGUUAACAUUGUUGUCCGAAGGAAGAAAGAGGGUCAUACUGUUUUGCCUGUGUUUUAUACUGUGAGUCCUGAGGAUGUUGAGAACCAAACUGGGAGUUUCGCUGAAGCUUUUGUGAAUCAUGAAAAGAGAGGGAAUGCGGAGACUGGUGAAAAAAGAAAGGUAUGGAUGGAGAAGAUGGACAAGUGGAGAUUAGCUCUUAAAGAAGUUGCUAAAUUGGAAGGAAUGUGCUUAGCUAAAGAAGUAGACGGGUGAGUGUUUUUAAAAUUUUCUCAUGAUUCGGUAAUUUCUUUUUCUUCAUCUGACAUUUCCUUAACUUGGCUUUAGAUUAAUUAGUCUUAAGAGCCAUAUGUGGGUGAGAAAUUGCUAAGUUUGCUGUGUAAAAUUAUCUUGGGUGAUGAUGUUUGUAGAGAACUAUAUAGAUAAUUGUCUAGAACUAUGUUUUGCUCGGUUUGUCUACUGAUUGAUUUCAUUACAGAAGUCUCGUUACCGAUGCUUUCUAAAUGUUUACAAACUCAAACCACUGAAAAUAGAGGAUCUUUCCCUAUUAGAUUUCUGUUGAUUCUAAAAGGAGUUCGACAUAGACAUCAUAGGACUCGGUACUUUUUGUCCAGUAGUAUGACCUUUAUAUUUAGGUAGCAAAACAUCAAACACAUUCUGAUGCUCAAGAAUGCUGGUGAAUCUUCUCUUAGAUUUUGGGUCCUCUUUUCCAUAUAUGUGCUUCCCUUUAUAUUGGGGUAUGGUGGCACCCAAAUUGAGCUCUUGGUGUGCAGGGAUGUGUCUGUGUUUUCUUUUCCGUUUCUUUUCCCGUCCUUCCUUCUCCUGCUUAUCAUAUGUGAGAAGUUAGUAAGGCCUCUCUCUACCUAGUCGAAGUAAAGGACUUAGGCACCUAGGAACUCUUGGAUAUAAAACAUUGAUCUCUAAGGAAGCAAUAUUUUUUGUUGCUUCCAAAAUAAUCGUUUUUUUAUAACCGUAGUGUCCCGGUCAGCUUGCGUGCCCACGUCUAAUUCCGCGGGCUACCUGCUACUUCUCACCAACAAUAGGUACCAGGUAAGUCUGUCCACCAAAGACUUGCACAGAUGAGAAGAAAUCACUUAGUGUUUUUGCCUCCACGGAGAUUUGAACCUGAUACCUAUGGUUCUCAACCCAACUUCAUUGACCACUAGGCCACACCCUUGGGUGCUGCUUCCUCAUGUCUGUGAAUAAUCAUGACUUGUAUGUGCUUUUAGCAUUACCAGUCAGAAGUUCAUCAACUCUUGUUUCGUCUCUUACUUUUGCGCUGCAACUCAGGCACGAGGCAAAAUUCAUCCAAAAAAUCAUCAAGGAGAUACUCAAAAGAUUGGAUCGGACGGUACUUUGUGUACCUUCAUACACAGUUGGGUUAGAGUCU